UACAGAGGUCCCAAGCGUUGUUCGGAUUCAUUGGGCGUAAAGGGUGCGUAGGCGGCGUGGUAAGUCGGGGUGUGAAAUCUCGGGGCUUAACUCCGAAACUGCAUUCGAUACUGUCGUGCUUGAGGACUGGAGAGGAGACUGGAAUUUACGGUGUAGCGGUGAAAUGCGUAGAUAUCGUAAGGAAGACCAGUGGCGAAGGCGGGUCUCUGGACAGUUCCUGACGCUGAGGCACGAAGGCCAGGGGAGCAAACGGG
rnacentral:rRNA from 1 species